GAUGAACGCUGGCGGCGUGCUUAACACAUGCAAGUCGAACGAACCUUCGGGUUAGUGGCGGACGGGUGAGUAACGCGUGAGAAUCUGCCCUCAGGAGGGGGAUAACGGCUGGAAACGGCCGCUAAUACCCCAUAUGCCGCGAGGUGAAAUGAAUUUCGCCUGAGGAUGAGCUCGCGUCUGAUUAGCUAGUUGGUGGGGUAAGGGCCUACCAAGGCAUCGAUCAGUAGCUGGUCUGAGAGGAUGAUCAGCCACACUGGGACUGAGACACGGCCCAGACUCCUACGGGAGGCAGCAGUGGGGAAUUUUCCGCAAUGGGCGCAAGCCUGACGGAGCAACGCCGCGUGAGGGAUGAAGGCCUCUGGGCUGUAAACCUCUUUUAUCAAGGAAGAAGAUCUGACGGUACUUGAUGAAUAAGCCACGGCUAAUUCCGUGCCAGCCGCCGCCGUAA
rnacentral:rRNA from 1 species